UACGUAGGGGGCAAGCGUUGUCCGGAAUCAUUGGGCGUAAAGAGCGUGUAGGCGGCCCGAUAAGUCCGCUGUGAAAGUCCAGGGCUCAACCCUGGGAUGCCGGUGGAUACUGUCGGGCUCGAGUCCGGAAAAGGAGUGUGGAAUUCCUGGUGUAGCGGUGAAAUGCGCAGAUAUCAGGAGGAACACCAAUGGCGAAGGCAGCACUCUGGGACGUGACUGACGCUGAGACGCGAAAGCGUGGGGAGCAAACAGG
rnacentral:rRNA from 1 species